rnacentral:rRNA from 1 species
UACAGAGGUUGCGAGCGUUAAUCGGAAUGACUGGGCGUAAAGGGCGCGUAGGUGGAUGUGUGUGUUGGAUGUGAAAGCCCCGGGCUUAACCUGGGAAUUGCAUACAAAACUGCACAUCUAGAGUAGAGCAGAGGUAAGUGGAAUUUCCGGAGUAGCGGUGAAAUGCGUAGAUACCGGAAGGAACACCAGUGGCGAAGGCGACUUACUGGGCUCAAACUGACACUGAGGCGCGAAAGCGUGGGGAGCGAACAGG